rnacentral:miRNA from 1 species
CUCCAGCAGACCCUCCCUCCCAGACCCUCCUACUUCCUGUACAGGGAUGCUGUACAGGAAGUAGGAGAGUCUGGGAGGGAGGGUCUGCUGGAG